ACAAACACAAAGUUUUUAUAGUGGUUCGGAGCUAACCCUUGCUCCUACGUCCACUCCCCAAGUCUCACUUGGGAAUUCACUAUAACCCCUCGGAUUACAGUCGGUUGUUUUACAAGCUCACAACCAAACUUGUUGUUUUACGAGCUCACAACGAACUCGGUCGGUUUUCCUGGCUCACCGACUAGAACCACCCCGAUUGUUUUUCCGGGAUCACAAUCGAACCCUUACACGUUGGUUUUAACCUAGGCUCACCAACCAACCUCUACACCCUUGAUUCAAUCCCCCGAUUGAACCAAG
rnacentral:lncRNA from 1 species